UGCUCUGGUUCAUUAACCCCAGAUCUGCAGACGGGUAAAUUGAGGCACAGAGGGUUCAAUGCUCACUAGGGGUAGAGGAUGGGGAGGACAAGGGGAACUCUGCUCCAAGACUGCUGAGCUGUCCCCAGUAAUUCAUCUCUGGCUUGCUGAUCUGGGGAUGUGGAAGAUCCUCUAGCACCACCAGGCUUCCCUGAGUGGGGGCUGCGUGAGACACGACGAGCUAGAGACUCGAGGGAAGCCAGGAAAGCUGAUGCAUCUACAGCAAUGGCUUAAAGCUGUGUUCAAACUCCUGACUCUGCAUCUGCUGUGCUGCGUAGGGAAAGGAGCAGCAUUUCCUACGCCACUGUAGCAUACAGGAAUGGGGCAGUAUGUUUGAAAGAGUUGGGAUAUCCUCAAAUGAGCCCUCUGACUGCCUCCUGCAAAAGCCAGCAGAACCCAGCUGAGCCAUCAGGUGUGUGCAGUCAGGGCUGGGUGAGUUGGUGAAGGAUGGAGGCAGUGGUGGCACACAGGUACCAACCACAUCAAGCAGUGCAAAUGCUGCGGGGAGUUAGGGCUUCUUUCCCCACCACCCUCCAGGAAAUCUGUGUCUGUGUGUAGUGGGGUUUUGUGUAUUUGCAUUGGGUCGUAAAAUAACCUAUUAGGAUGCUUGCUGUGCCUCAGGUGCCUGAAAUAUUGCAAAGACCUUGUGCCCACAAAAUUGGCCCAGCUCAGCAA
rnacentral:lncRNA from 1 species